rnacentral:rRNA from 1 species
AAAUUGAAGAGUUUGAUCAUGGCUCAGAUUGAACGCUGGCGGCAGGCCUAACACAUGCAAGUCGAACGGUAACAGGAAGCAGCUUGCUGCUUCGCUGACGAGUGGCGGACGGGUGAGUAAUGUCUGGGAAACUGCCUGAUGGAGGGGGAUAACUACUGGAAACGGUGGCUAAUACCGCAUAACGUCGCAAGACCAAAGAGGGGGACCUUUGGGCCUCUUGCCAUCAGAUGUGCCCAGAUGGGAUUAGCUUGUUGGUGAGGUAACGGCUCACCAAGGCGACGAUCCCUAGCUGGUCUGAGAGGAUGACCAGCCACACUGGAACUGAGACACGGUCCAGACUCCUACGGGAGGCAGCAGUGGGGAAUAUUGCACAAUGGGCGCAAGCCUGAUGCAGCCAUGCCGCGUGUAUGAAGAAGGCCUUCGGGUUGUAAAGUACUUUCAGCGGGGAGGAAGGUGUUGUGGUUAAUAACCGCAGCAAUUGACGUUACCCGCAGAAGAAGCACCGGCUAACUCCGUGCCAGCAGCCGCGGUAAUACGGAGGGUGCAAGCGUUAAUCGGAAUUACUGGGCGUAAAGCGCACGCAGGCGGUCUGUCAAGUCGGAUGUGAAAUCCCCGGGCUCAACCUGGGAACUGCAUUCGAAACUGGCAGGCUUGAGUCUUGUAGAGGGGGGUAGAAUUCCAGGUGUAGCGGUGAAAUGCGUAGAGAUCUGGAGGAAUACCGGUGGCGAAGGCGGCCCCCUGGA